UAGAGUAAAGUAUCAAUCACCGGACGUCAUCAUAUGUCGGACACCGAUAUGGUCAAAACUACAAAAGAUACAGACACCAUUCAAAGACCAUUUUAAAGCUAAUCUGAAAGAAAACGCUGUCCGGUGGUAGCGAUUGUCGGACAAAAACAACAUAAGUUCGGACAGUGCUGAUAUUCUCACCAGUAAGGACUCCUGCGAAAAUGUAAGAACUGAGCACUAUAGCGGAACUCUUUAGCUAGCUGCAGACCAAAAAUGAAGCUCAAACUCCUAUCAGGCUCUGCACUACACUCAGUUGAACUGGUAAAGGUCUAUUUAGAACCAGCAUCUACUAAGGUAUAGCAUUAUCAUUUCAUAAAGUACAAAAUUCAACGUAUAUAGGUAUGUAAUUUAUUGUCUUCAAGAAUAGAACCUCUACCAAUAAUUACUAUAUCUCCACUUCUGUCUUUUCUAACACGUACUGAACAGGGGCGUAACUAGAAAUGUUACGGGAAGGAGGCUUGCGCCCCUGCAAAUUGUUUAACUGGAAACCACACCCAUUAAUUAUUGCGUAGAAGCGCAUGACAAUGCUAUUUACUUGCUUUUCUUCCCUUUUCGUCAUCAACAAGACAGUGAUAGAGCUCAUUUCUGCUUAUUCUAUGUACCUAGUUGGCUGGUUAUCCAGAAGUUAGCUAGCUAGCUAUUAAAAGCGAGUCACAUGAAACUUGAAGUUCAAUAGUACAGGAGGCAAGAGCCUCCUCUGCCUCAUUGCUAGUUACACCCCUGCUGAACAAAAAAGAUGUGAACUUGCACCACUGAAAUUACUAGGAUUGGUCAAAAACAAGUGAAGGGGAGAGUGGCCUUAUGUCAAUCACAACAUCAUGAACAACAUUACAUUGUUAUGUUCCCUACGUUGAGACUCAUUGUUGUACAUGUAGUGUCACUUUGUACUUGGAAAAUUGCUGUAUUGCCAAAUUGUUGGCAUGUCAUGAAUAAUUGAUUAGUAUGCUCAAACAAAUUUAAAUCAUCAUACCUUGAACACUAGCUAUAUAAUAUAGUAUGUAUUAUUAUUUUUGUAAAUGACCAUGUAUGUACAAUAUUUAACCUUGGCAACAUGCUACAUGCAUGUAUACGCUAUUUUUGUUUGAUUCCCGUCAACUACUCCUUGGAUUGAUGUUUCAUUACCUCUACUGUAGAAUAUGACUAUGUACUGACGCCCACUGAAGCUUCUCAUCACUAUGGUAACCUUCCAUCAGCUGACUGUCUAACAAUUGAGAACAGUGCCUAUGGCCUCAAGGAGGAGCAGUUCAACUAUGUGUCCACGCCUACUGAAGCCCCUCAUCACUAUGGCGACCUUCUGUCAGGUGACCCUCUAACAGCUGAGAACAGUGUAUACGGCCUCAGAGAAGAAAAUUAAUGACUACAAACAGACAAUAACUUUUGUUUAAUGGCCGAAUGACUCUCCUGUAUAUUAUAACUGAGCUGAAUUAUGGUAUAUAAUUCUACCAUGCAGUAUAGUGACAACCCAUUAAAUUUUAGUAUUUUAGUGACGUUGAAUCUAUAUUGUGGUAGAAGAAUUUCGUAGUUUUAAUUUUG